CUGUGUGUGUGUGUGUGUGUGUGUGUGUGUGUGGGAGAGAGAGAGAGACUUACAAGAACAAAAGCAGGUCUCUCCAUCCUUAAUUGUCUAAACAACCUUAAUUGACUAAUCAUAAACA